GAGGGAGGUUUAAAACAGCAAGAACUGCUAACUCUUGCAUCUGAGUAUAAAACCUCAGCCCCCUUA
rnacentral:tRNA from 1 species